GGUGGAGAGCUUGCCAGAGGAAACGCAGGAGUUUGUAGAUGCCUCUGAUGAUCCUAAAGAUGCUUGAUUCGGAUGAGGGGCUGUGGCAUGGUCCCCUUGAUUUAGAUUGAAAUGCAACUGUCAUAGAAAUAGAUGAGAGAGGCCUUUAUCAGGUACUUGUCAUUUGUCAACCAUGCGCCUGCUGUUUGAUUUGUGAAAUAUCACCAUGUUGUCAGAUGAAUGUUAUUAGCAGAAUUGCCAUUUGGCUUUCCCA